rnacentral:misc_RNA from 1 species
GAUGAAGAACGUAGCAAAAUGCGAUAAGUAAUGUGAAUUGCAGAAUUCAGUGAAUCAUCGAAUCUUUGAACGCACAUUGCGCCCCUUGGUAUUCCGAGGGGCAUGCCUGCUCGAGCGUCAUUAUAACCCCUCAAGCUCAGCUUGGUGUUGGGGCCUGCUGCACUGGCAGCCCUUAAAAUCAGUGGCGGCGCCAUCUGGCUCUAAGCGUAGUAAUUCUUCUCGCUAUGGAGUCCUGGUGGAUGCUUGCCAUCAACCCCCAAUUUUUCUAUGGUUGACCUCGGAUCAGGUAGGGAUACCCGCUGAACUUAAGCAUAUCAAUAAGCGGAGGA